rnacentral:rRNA from 1 species
AGAGUUUGAUCAUGGCUCAGAGCGAACGCUGGCGGCAGGCUUAACACAUGCAAGUCGAGCGCACUCUUCGGAGUGAGCGGCGGACGGGUGAGUAACACGUGGGAACGUGCCCUUCAGUUCGGGAUAACCAAGGGAAACUUUGGCUAACACCGGAUACGCCCUUAGGGGGAAAGGUUACGCUGAAGGAGCGGCCCGCGUCUGAUUAGCUAGUUGGUGGGGUAAAGGCUCACCAAGGCUACGAUCAGUAGCUGGUCUGAGAGGAUGAUCAGCCACACUGGGACUGAGACACGGCCCAGACUCCUACGGGAGGCAGCAGUGGGGAAUCUUGCGCAAUGGGGGAAACCCUGACGCAGCCAUGCCGCGUGUAUGAUGAAGGUCUUAGGAUUGUAAAAUACUUUCACCGGGGACGAUAAUGACGGUACCCGGAGAAGAAGCCCCGGCUAACUUCGUGCCAGCAGCCGCGGUAAUACGAAGGGGGCUAGCGUUGCUCGGAUUUACUGGGCGUAAAGGGCGCGUAGGCGGAUGACCAAGUUGGGGGUGAAAGCCCGGGGCUCAACCUCGGAAUUGCCUUCAAAACUGGUCGUCUUGAGUAUGAGAGAGGUGUGUGGAACUCCGAGUGUAGAGGUGAAAUUCGUAGAUAUUCGGAAGAACACCAGUGGCGAAGGCGACACACUGGCUCAUUACUGACGCUGAGGCGCGAAAGCGUGGGGAGCAAACAGGAUUAGAUACCCUGGUAGUCCACGCCGUAAACGAUGAGUGCUAGUUGUCGGGCGGCAUGCCGUUCGGUGACGCAGCUAACGCAUUAAGCACUCCGCCUGGGGGAGUACGGUCGCAAGAUUAAAACUCAAAUGAUUGACGGGGG